CGCACAUUGCGCCCUUUGGUAUUCCGAAGGGCAUGCCUGUUCGAGCGUCAUUUCAACCUUCAAGCUCCUGCUUGGUGUUGGGCCUUCGUCCGUGACGGACGGGCCCGAAACUCAUAGGCGGUGGUGCCCAGCUCCCAGCGUAGUCAAUUCUACCCGCUCCGGAGUCCUGGGUGUCGCCAGCCUGACGACCACAAACUCUUCUAUGGUUUGACCUCGGAUCAGGUAGGGAUACCCGCUGAACUUAA
rnacentral:misc_RNA from 1 species